UACGUAGGUGGCAAGCGUUGUCCGGAUUUACUGGGCGUAAAGGGCGUGCAGGCGGUUUGUUAAGUCUAGGGUGAAAGCUCCCGGCUCAACUGGGAGAGGUCCUUGGAUACUGGCGAACUUGAGGGAUGCAGAGGAAAGUGGAAUUCCCGGUGUAGUGGUGAUAUGCGUAGAUAUCGGGAGGAACACCAGUGGCGAAGGCGGCGAUCUGGGAAGAUACUGACGCUGAGGCGCGAAAGCGUGGGGAGCAAACGGG
rnacentral:rRNA from 1 species